CCCAUCCUUCUCAAUACAUCACCCAAAUUCCCAACAACCAUCAUUGAAAUUAUGGGUUAUGGGGGUUUUUUUGUCGAUUAAUUUCUGACAAGCCACUGUCAAACCAUCACCGUAUUUAAGGUAUUGAUCUUUUCUUUUUCUUUUUCUCCUCUUUUUCGAACCCCACAAGACUUUUGAUGGCCGAAUUGUGCUGCCAACCACC
rnacentral:lncRNA from 1 species